AGGAUGAACGCUGGCGGCGUGCUUAACACAUGCAAGUCAAGGGGGCCCAGCAAUGGGCAACCGGCGAACGGGUGCGUAACACGUGAGCAACCUACCGAAAUGUGGGGGAUAGCCGGCCCCAACGGCCGGGUAAUACCGCAUACGCUCGAGACCAGGCAUUUGGACUCGAGGAAAUUUACGGAGCAUUUCGAGGGGCUCGCGGCCUAUCAGCUAGUUGGUGAGGUACGCUCACCAAGGCUACGACGGGUAGCUGGUCUAGAGAGGAUGGCCAGCCACAUUGGGACUGAGAUACGGCCCAGACUCCGUACGGGAGCAGCAGGU
rnacentral:rRNA from 1 species